AUGCCUGGGAAAUUGCCCUGAUGUGGGGGAUAACCAUUGGAAACGAUGGCUAAUACCGCAUAAUGCCUUCGGGCCAAAGAGGGGGACCUUCGGGCCUCUCGCGUCAGGAUAUGCCCAGGUGGGAUUAGCUAGUUGGUGAGGUAAGGGCUCACCAAGGCGACGAUCCCUAGCUGGUCUGAGAGGAUGAUCAGCCACACUGGAACUGAGACACGGUCCAGACUCCUACGGGAGGCAGCAGUGGGGAAUAUUGCACAAUGGGCGCAAGCCUGAUGCAGCCAUGCCGCGUGUAUGAAGAAGGCCUUCGGGUUGUAAAGUACUUUCAGUCGUGAGGAAGGUAGUGUAGUUAAUAGCUGCAUUGCUUGACGUUAGCGACAGAAGAAGCACCGGCUAACUCCGUGCCAGCAGCCGCGGUAAUACGGAGGGUGCGAGCGUUAAUCGGAAUUACUGGGCGUAAAGCGCAUGCAGGUGGUUUGUUAAGUCAGAUGU
rnacentral:rRNA from 1 species